rnacentral:lncRNA from 1 species
CAUCAUAGAUGUCUAAUGGUUAGGUCCUUGAUCUUUGAUCAUGUCAACGGCAUUCCUUCGGAUUGUCCACGACAUUGUUGGGGUCAAGCUAUCUAGUCAUAUAGGCAUAUGAAUGCACAACAAGGGAUCUCUAACCUUCCAUGGUGGAAGGAGAAUACUCUAAGAUAUGAUUCUAAAGUCUUUGGCCAAAGCAUAUGAAUAUGACUCAGGAAGUUUGUUCCGAAUCAUAUAGGAAAGUAUCACAUUGGAUAGUAGACAUGAAACAAACUAUCACUUAAACAAUGUGAUUAAGAGUAUUGUAUUAGAGAAGGACCAUAUUGCAUUGUAGUUGUAACUGGAUAGGUUCUCCAACCAAUUCUACUUAGCUUGGGUAACCAUGAUAUGCUGCUAGGUGUCACUCAUGGUUUGUGGAAGCCCUGAAGAUUAGCAAACACUAAUCUUAAGGGAGAAUUGAAAUGUGGUUUCAAUUCACAAUCGAUCGUUAAGAGUAACAUCGCCCACUGCCUCGCUAAUUGGAACCUAAUGGAUCACACACCAUAUAAGGAUGUUAGUGAAGAAAUCAUAUGAAAUGGAUAAGCAAUUAAAUGGUUUAAUUGAAGAAUGGUCAAGAUUAAUUAAUUAGUUAAUUAAUUAUACGAAAGGUUCGUAUUGGGCUUGUAUGUUGGUUUUGGGUUUCGGGGCCCAAAAGUGUUUUGGUCCACAAGGCCCAUUAUGUUUAAGUUGUAUGACAACUAAAACAAAAUGGGCAAAUUGGCCCAAUAACAAGGAGAGGCCGGCCAUUAGGGUGAAUGGGCAAGCUUGCUUAAUUACAAGUUUGCCACUCACCAAAGAAAAUGUUAUAAAAGCAACUUUAUAGCCAUUUUCUCAUUAGGGUUUUCUAAUAGAAAUUGGGUGA